AACAGCCGCAGUUCUUUUUCAAAAAAAAGCUGGAGAUGGAAUUUUUUUGGUAUCCUUAAGUAAACAAUGAUUUCUCAUGCAUACUUUCGAGGUAGCGCUUCAAUGUAGAGAGUGACCUUAUUAAUCUGGUAUAUUUGCAUGCCUCACAAAGGCUGCGGUAUAUGGCUGUUUUCCCCGGUGAUGCAGUUCAUUGACUACUGCUUUGAGGCACUGAAAGCGAAAACUUUAAAAGGACUGCACAGUAUUUUAGAACAGUGAUUAGGAUUACAACUGCAAGAUACACGCUGAACAUGUUUCAGUGUGAUUUUGGUACUUCAAAAUAGUUUGCAAGACAAGAUUAGUUCAAAAUUCAGUCCAGCUGCCGUCAUAAUUCUUUUCAUGUAAGCAUGUUUUGCCAAGGUAAUUCUCUUGCUUAGUUUAGUGAUAGUCUAACUUUCAUGAUAUUAUUUUGUGUAAUCAUCUUUACCUGUCUGCAAAGCGCUAAGUCUAAUUAUUGUAUUUGCUUUUUCAUGCAAAACCGAGUGUAAAGUAUGUGUGUGAUAUGGGCGGAGCAUUUCCCUUUUUCUCGGCAGAUUGUCCGCCGAUUUGUCGUAUAACACAUGCCUGGUGCAGGAUGUGGCAUGGUUCUGUGUGACGUAGGAGUGGAUCAUCUAAGGUAACAUAGGCUUCCUCAACACUUGCUCCAUCCUAAUUCUUAGUCGUCUUUGCCAUUUAUUUUGUGAUUAUGGUUGAAUUAUAGAAUGUUCAUUUGGCGCCAAAAUGUGCUUAGAGUAUCAAUUUUACUAUCCAACUCAUUUUGGUGCUCAAAAUUUUCUAUUCUACAAUCCCUGGUUUAUACUGUGUAAACAAGAAGAACGAAGAAUCCAAUAUGUUUCUUCCUUAUCUUUGUUGUCAUGUAUCCUGCAUAUUUUACUUUCUUUUUAAAAUUAUAGUAACCUAUUCUUAAUUUAUAUUGAUAAAAAACUUGCAAAGAUGGACUUACCUGAAUCUGUGGUGUGUUUACAAGCAUAAGCAGUAACCAGAACCUGAAAAAAAAACUUUAUACCUUUCAUUUUUUGGUUUAUAAAUAAUCACAUUUAGAGAUUGGUUCCAAGAAGCAACAGGAAAUAUUUUUUUACCGCACAUGGAUACAGACUCAAACAUUCAAUAGCGGGGGCUCUUUCCUAUUGAUUCCUUUGAAUUUUAUUAUAAGUGCUUAUUAAAUUAUACCAUUUUGUGAUGCUCAUUCAUAAUUUAUUUCUGAAAUCUAUUUGUUUGCCAUUUUUUGUGUUAAACAGCUCCACCUCUUGAGUAUAUUGUGUAUUAUGGCCGAAUUAUGAUCUAUAUCAGGUGAGAAAAGCAGGCUCAGCAAUGUAGAUAAAUUCCAUCGCUGUAUUACUAUGUUCUUUAAACAAAAAACUUCUAAUUAGUAUUUUAGUUUACCUUACUUAUAAUGACGCAAAAAUGCAGAAGACGAGAUGUGUAUAGGGAAGUUCAAAUUAUUAGCAUUCAAGAGCUCACAGUGUUCAAUAUUGUUUGGUGCAUCUAUAUAAACUGACGCAGAUAAGUUUGUAUGUAUGUUCAUCCAAUAAAAAAAAGAUUACUGAUGUUGUUUCGUAUUUUCCGCAUGUGUUGGAUGGACUGAUAUCUCAGUCCGGCCUUCAUUAUUAAUUGCAGUGCACCUGGAAUCUUGAGUAUGUUAUGUAUUAUGGCCGAAUUAUGAUCUAUAUCAGUGCACUUGGAAUCGGAAUUAAUAGUGCGCUCUACUUCUCCACAUGGUUCCGGUGCAUCUACCAUAUUGUUAGAGCAUCCACGGCGCAAGUCGCAUGGCGUGUACCCAGGCGGCUGAAGUAAUUAGUAUAAAUAGAACAAAAUCAAUUAUGUAGCGAAGUGGGCAUCACUGCAGUGCUAGGCUCUUAUUUGCGACGAUAAUUCGCCUAUGUGCCCAC